rnacentral:rRNA from 1 species
GAUGAACGCUGGCGGCGUGCCUAAUACAUGCCAGUCGAGCGAACAGACGAGGAGCUUGCUCCUCUGACGUUAGCGGCGGACGGGUGAGUAACACGUGGAUAACCUCCCUAUAAGACUGGGAUAACUUCGGGAAACCGGAGCUAAUACCGGAUAAUAUAUUGAACCGCAUGGUUCAAUAGUGAAAGACGGUUUUGCUGUCACUUAUAGAUGGAUCCGCGCCGCAUUAGCUAGUUGGUAAGGUAACGGCUUACCAAGGCAACGAUGCGUAGCCGACCUGAGAGGGUGAUCGGCCACACUGGAACUGAGACACGGUCCAGACUCCUACGGGAGGCAGCAGUAGGGAAUCUUCCGCAAUGGGCGAAAGCUUGACGGAGCAACGCCGCGUGAGUGAUGAAGGUCUUCGGAUCGUAAAACUCUGUUAUUAGGGAAGAACAAAUGUGUAAGUAACUAUGCACGUCUUGACGGUACCUAAUCAGAAAGCCACGGCUAACUACGUG